GACGAACGCUGGCGGCGUGCCUAAUACAUGCAAGUAGAACGCUGAAGGAGGAGCUUGCUUCUCUGGAUGAGGUGCGAACGGGUGAGUAACGCGUAGGUAACCUGCCUGGUAGCGGGGGAUAACUAUUGGAAACGAUAGCUAAUACCGCAUAAUAGUAGAUGUUGCAUGACAUUUGCUUAAAAGGUGCAAUUGCAUCACUACCAGAUGGACCUGCGUUGUAUUAGCUAGUUGGUGGGGUAACGGCUCACCAAGGCGACGAUACAUAGCCGACCUGAGAGGGUGAUCGGCCACACUGGGACUGAGACACGGCCCAGACUCCUACGGGAGGCAGCAGUAGGGAAUCUUCGGCAAUGGACGGAAGUCUGACCGAGCAACGCCGCGUGAGUGAAGAAGGUUUUCGGAUCGUAAAGCUCUGUUGUAAGAGAAGAACGAGUGUGAGAGUGGAAAGUUCACACUGUGACGGUAUCUUACCAGAAAGGGACGGCUAACUACGUG
rnacentral:rRNA from 1 species